UUCGCAAUGCCCGAAAGGGUGACGAAGCGACGCCGCGUGUGGGAAGAAGGCCUUCGGGUUGUAAACCACUGUCGGGAGUUAGGAAGUGCAGGAGCGUUAAUAGCGUUCUUGCUUGACUAAGGCUCCAGAGGAAGCCACGGCUAACUCUGUGCCAGCAGCCGCGGUAAUACAGAGGCGGCAAGCGUUGUUCGGAAUUAUUGGGCGUAAAGAGCACGUAGGUGGUUUUGUAAGUCAGAUGUGAAAGCCUUCUGUUCAAAGGAAGAACGGCAUCUGAAACUGCUGAUCUUGAGUGUAGGAGGGGAGAGUGGAACUUCUGGUGGAGCGGUGAAAUGCGUAGAUAUCAGAAGGAACGUCGGCGGCGAAAGCGACUCUCUGGCCUAUUACUGACACUGAGUGUGCGAAAGUUAGGGGAGCAAACGGGAUUAGAUACCCCGGUAGUCCUAACCGUAAACGAUGGGCACUAAGUAGAGGGGUUUU
rnacentral:rRNA from 1 species